GGUUUGGUGGUCUAGUAGUAUGAUUCACCCUUAGGGCAUGUGUCUUGAUUGGGUGAGGUCCCGGGUUCAAUUCCCGGCCAGACCC